rnacentral:rRNA from 1 species
AACGAACGCUGGCGGCGCGCUUAACACAUGCAAGUCGAACGAGAAGGCGUAGCAAUACGCUUGUACAGUGGCGAGCGGGUGGGUAAUACGUGAGCGACCUACCCUCGAGUAGGGAAUAACCCGCCGAAAGGCGGGCUAAUGCCGCGUACGCUCCCAUCUUUAUGGAGGUGGAAGGAAAGCCGUGCCGUGGGCACGGCGCUCAAGGAUGGGCUCACGUCCUAUCGGCUUGUUGGUAGGGAACGGCCUACCAAGGCUCCGACGGGUAGCUGGUCUGAGAGGACGAUCAGCCACACUGGCACUGCGACACGGGCCAGACUCCUACGGGAGGCAGCAGUGAGGAAUAUUGCGCAAUGGGCGAAAGCCUGACGCAGCGACGCCGCGUGGGGGAUGAAGGUCUUCGGAUUGUAAACCCCUUUCGGGAGGGAAGAUGGGACGGGCAACCGUUCGGACGGUACCUCCAGAAGCAGCCACGGCUAACUUCGUGCCAGCAGCCGCGGUAAC